rnacentral:misc_RNA from 1 species
CCAGACAUGGGGCUCCAGAGCCAUCGAGAAAGCUCACGUGGAAAGCGCAAAACUCAUCUGCCCUGCACCCCCGCCUAUCCUCUACUCCUCUCCAUUGCAGCAGCAGAGCUCGCCGCCGAUGGACGAGGGGUCAUCGAAGAGGGCGCAGGAUAUCGCGCAACAGCGGGAGGGGAUGCUAAGGAGAUGUUGCACGUCCUCACCGAAUUCGAGUACGAGCUCUCGCUCACCAACCUCGUCGAGAAGGCCGCGGGCGGGGGCGGCGGAGCCGAAGCUACGCCCCGCACCCAAGACAGAGGGAAAGGACCGGAGCGCCGCACAGCCAGCAGCAGCUAACGUCGAUAGCGAGGAGUCCCGGGCGGAGGUAGUUGGUGGGGGCAGCUUCCACAGCAUCAACGAUGGCGUCUUGCUCACCUUCUACAUGUCGCGGGCGCCCACCUGGAGCUUCAUCGUGCGCCUUGCUCGAACGCCAUCGUCCGCCUCCAUCUGCCGGAGCCCCAACGUCGCAUCUGACUGUAGGAAGAGGUGAUUAAUCAAUCAUCUCCGAGCUCCAAAACAUGUCCGAAGUUCAAACGCUACGUAGGCGUUAGCCAUGUGACUUGAUUGUUCUGUUUAAUCUAAUUUCUUAAAGGCGCGGUCAUCCUGUCUCCUCUUUUUUUUUGUUCUCUUGGAUCUUCCAUUUGUUGGCGCAAACAGAUCCUCGGUAUUUUUCGGCCAGAAUGAUCUUUUUCGUUACGGAUAGGGCUUCUGAUCUGUGCGAGAGGAUAAGAAUCCCAGUUCUUUAGUUUGAUAUUAUAAUACGUGUCUAGCUAUUAGUUUCCCC